rnacentral:misc_RNA from 1 species
GAUGAAGAACGUAGCGAAAUGCGAUAAGUAGUGUGAAUUGCAGAAUUCAGUGAAUCAUCGAAUCUUUGAACGCACAUUGCGCCCCUUGGUAUUCCAUGGGGCAUGCCUGUUCGAGCGUCAUUUGUACCUUCAAGCUCUGCUUGGUGUUGGGUGUUUGUCUCGCCCCUGCGUGUAGACUCGCCUCAAAAUAAUUGGCAGCCGGCGUAUUGAUUUCGGAGCGCAGUACAUCUCGCGCUUUGCACUCAUAACGACGACGUCCAAAAGUACAUUUUUACACUCUUGACCUCGGAUCAGGUAGGGAUACCCGCUGAACUUAAGCAUAUCAAUAAGCGGAGGA